rnacentral:snRNA from 1 species
AAUCCGCUAAGGAGUGUGUAA